rnacentral:rRNA from 1 species
CGGGAAACUGAGUAUAAUGCCCGAUAGAACACUAUACCUGGAAUGGUUGUGUUCCCAAAUGAAUGUCGCCGUAGGAUGGGACUGCGGCCUAUCAGUUUGUUGGUGAGGUAAUGGCCCACCAAGACUAUUACAGGUACGGGCUCUGAGAGGAGUAGCCCGGAGAUGGGUACUGAGACACGGACCCAGGCCCUAUGGGGCGCAGCAGGCGAGAAAACUUUGCAAUGUGCGAAAGCACGACAAGGUUAAUCCGAGUGGUUUGUGCUAAACGAACCUUUUGACAGUCCUAGAAACACUGUUGAAUAAGGGGUGGGCAAGUUCUGGUGUCAGCCGCCGCGGUAAAACCAGCACCUCAAGUGGUCAGGAUGAUUAUUGGGCCUAAAGCAUCCGUAGCCGGCUCUGUAAGUUUUCGGUUAAAUCUGUACGCUCAACGUACAGGCUGCCGGGAAUACUGCAGAGCUAGGGAGUGGGAGAGGUAGACGGUACUCGGUAGGAAGGGGUAAAAUCCUUUGAUCUAUUGAUGACCACCUGUGGCGAAGGCGGUCUACCAGAACACGUCCGACGGUGAGGGAUGAAAGCUGGGGGAGCAAACCGGAUUAGAUACCCGGGUAGUCCCAGCUGUAAACUAUGCAAACUCAGUGAUGCAUUGGCUUGUGGCCAAUGCAGUGCUGCAGGGAAGCCGUUAAGUUUGCCGCCUGGGAAGUACGUACGCAAGUAUGAAACUUAAAGGAAUUGGCGGGGGAGCACCACAAGGGGUGAAGCCUGCGGUUC